CACCGAUAAAGGCAAACUUCAGGAAACUGGAGGACGCAAAGCUAAAGGGCCUGUAAAAUGGCAGCCAGCUACCGAA
rnacentral:ncRNA from 1 species